rnacentral:lncRNA from 1 species
UAUGAGACAUUUUUUCGUUUAACGGUGUAAAAAUAUCCAAACUAAUUAAAUUUUAGAUAGAAAAUUCUUUAAACUAUUAAAAAUAAAAUCUAUAUUCUUAAUCUUGAUUACAAGACUACUAUCAUUAUUUUUUAAAUAACAUUCAUUUUCAACCGUUCAUUUUUAUGUCAACUUGAUGGACAGAAAAACAAUAUCGAAAAAGUAUGAGAUUUAGUUUCUAAAUGUUUUCAUAUUCAACGGUGUCAAUCGUCAAUUUGGAGGUUCCAUCAUCGAAAAUAAAUGAGUGACAAUAUAGUUCGUUUGCUACUAAUAAAAUUCAACUCAACUCUCUCUCUCUCUAUAUACACACACAACCUUAAAAGUUCAAUUUAUUCUCUCACUCUCUAUUGCACCUUAAAAGUUCAAUUUAUUCUCUCACUCUCUAUUGCACCAGUUGAGAAAUUCUCUCUCUUUUUUAUCAACUCAACCUUAGAGGGUGUUUGGUUCAACAUAAAAUGAAUCGAAAAGAUUAUUUUCAACAUGGAAAAUAUUUUCUACUUGUUUGAUUUAAUAUAAAAAUAUAUUUUUGCAAAAAUAUUUUACAGAUUUGAAAAAAAAAUUGAAGUUUUCAUUUUUCGCUAUUUUUUGGCAGAAAACAAAAAUCC